GGUACAAGGGAAAAAACACCACCCACCCGCUCCCCACAUCCCACUCCCCUCCCCUAACCUCUCCCGAUCUCACCACUGCCUCCCUGCCCGCGCUGCCAUUGGCUCACAGCAGAUCGCCUCGGCACAGCCGCCGCCCUCACCAGAUCGCCCCGCCACAGCCGCCGCCCUCACCAGAUCGCCCCGCCACCGCGGUCUCCCUCCUCGGUCGUGCCACCACCAUAGUUUCCCUCCCCAAAUCAUGCCACAGCUGCCACCUCCGGCCUCCUCUGCACAACACCCCUGCUCCUUGACCUUCGUGCGCGGCAUUGCGCCGUAACCGCCGCCGCCAUCCAACCCCAAACGCCAUCAACCUGGGCGCCCCCCUCCCGCUUGCUUCGACGCGGAUCCGGUCAACCCCGCAACUCUCCCCUCCGGUUUGUUCGAAGCUGACGGCGCUCCAUAUGUGCAGCAACACCGCUGCCGCUACAGCUAAUCAGCCACUGCUUGUCAGUACAGCUGCUGGCCCAUGCAUUACUCACUUAAAAAGUGAUUCGUGGUGCCACCAAGAACCAUACAUCUGCAUGUUCUUAGCACUUCUUUCUCUCUCUCUAAUUAGUUCUUAGUGGAGGUAGUGCAUCAUCUGCCUUGUGUCAACUUGUUCAAACAGGUAUUAAUCUUGUGUACUAACCGAUUUAAUGGCCAAGUUUUUGUCUGGAUGUGAUGCUGCUAAUCUAAUAUUUGAAAAGCUUUCCCAUAAGAUGAAUGUGUGGGUGGGGAUUCUCUGGCCGCACGACAACCACCAAACCCGCGUCGCAAGCCGCUGGGAUCCUGCCUCCAUGCAACCUUACUCCACAUGUUAUCGUGACCUUCCUCUACUUGCUGCCGUGACCAGCAGCGGCCAUGACCCUCCAAGCGCCGGCGUAGCUACACUCCACCGCUGUCGGUGGGCCGCCAACCACCACCUCCUCAUACAACCCGAUAGCUCCCUCCACAAACUAGCGCCGCCUGCCCCCACUACAUCUGCCACCUCCUGUAGUCUCUGCACAGCGGCGGCACCUUCCCAUGUUGUAUACCCGCAUCCUCUACCUUCGUCUACAAGCGUCUCAAUCCCCAGCAACACCCCUGUCUGUGCAGAAUGCUUUUGUUCUUCAGUUUGGGAAGAUUUGAACUUCUGAAGAAACUUUAUUGAGAAACGACACCCACCAUCUUGGCAUUAAUCAAAUCCAGGUGAAAAAAUGAAGUAUUGCAUCAACAGAAAAGCAGACUACAAAAAAGAUAUUAUUUUGAAUGUGAACCUGCGUGCAUUAUAUAGAAAUUAUGGAUGUUACUUCUGUGGUACUCAUCUUACCAUACACGUACAAACACAUGUUACUCUUAUAGUACUCAUCUUCCCAUACAGGUACAGAAUAGAUGCAGAGAAAAUAGUAUGUGAAUACUGGUACAAACUCCAUUUUGCAUUAUUCUUGCCGUAGAUGACGGAUUGUUUGCUUUCAAGACUUGAAUCUUGGUUUUAUUGAGAAGGUGGCUUGUCGGAUGUUGUCGCCAUGGAUGACGACGGUGAUCUCGUUCUCAAUCGGAGAAUGAAGAGACACUGGAGAAGGGACGAGGAUCAUGUCCUCACCGUGCAGCAUGGCGUCACCUCUUUGCUCCGGAGCGUCGGUCUUCUUGCUGGAGAGCAUUCAGUGUCGGAUUUCCUACUAUGUAUCGCCCUUCUUUCAUUUGUGGUCCAUUGUUUUCUAUUGUUGGUUUACAGGUUUGGAAGGCAGCCAUGCUGCUAACCUGACUUUGUGUUGCACAAGAGCUUCACGUCGUCUGAAUGCGACGGUGUUACUGCCAUGGAGAUCGGUGUUGGGAUAGGUGAUGGCUCGUUAUGAAAUUUAGUGAAUGAGAAAAUUGACUUAUUGUUGUGCUUGUACAACUGUGUAAUUUUUUUGAUUUUUUAUUUGUUUUUGUGAAGGUCAAAAUGUUGUGUCCGAGAAGUUCAAGUAUGUUAGUUUAUACUGUAUUAUUGAGAAGCUCCAACUAGUUGUAGGAGUGCAUUGAGAAACAGAGUGAAAAUAUCUACAAUAAUGUAAGUUCGGGAGGAUUAAAAAGGAAAAGGAAGAAAGAAAAAGCUCACACUUUUGUCAUUGAUAUUUACAGUGACAAAUAAGUAA